rnacentral:rRNA from 1 species
CCUACGGGGUGCAGCAGUAGGGAAUCUUCCACAAUGGGCGAAAGCCUGAUGGAGCAACGCCGCGUGGAUGAUGAAGGCCUUAGGAUCGUAAAACUCUGUUGUUAGAGGAGAAAGUGCGGGAGAGUGACUGUUCACGUUUCGACGGUAUCUAACCAGAAAGCCACGGCUAACUACGUGACAGCAGGCGCGGUAAUACGUAGGUGGCAAGCGUUAUCCGGAUUUAUUGGGCGUAAAGGGAGCGCAGGCGGCUUUUUAAGUCUGAUGUGAAAGCUUUCGGCUUAACCGGUGUAGUGCAUUGGAAACUGGGAGACUUGAGUGCAGAAGAGGCAGGCGGAACUCGUAGUGUAGCGGUGAAAUGCGUAGAUAUAUGGAAGAACACCAGUGGCGAAGGCAGCUUUCUGGACUGUAACUGACGCUGAGGCUCGAAAGCGUGGGUAGCAAACAGGAUUAGAUACCCUUGUAGUC